AUUGAACGCUGGCGGCAGGCCUAACACAUGCAAGUCGAGCGGUAACAGGAAGAAGCUUGCUUCUUUGCUGACGAGUGGCGGACGGGUGAGUAAUGUCUGGGAAACUGCCUGAUGGAGGGGGAUAACUACUGGAAACGGUAGUUAAUACCGCAUAACGUCGCAAGACCAAAGAGGGGGACCUUCGGGCCUCUUGCCAUCGGAUGUGCCCAGAUGGGAUUAGCUAGUAGGUGGGGUAACGGCUCACCUAGGCGACGAUCCCUAGCUGGUCUGAGAGGAUGACCAGCCACACUGGAACUGAGACACGGUCCAGACUCCUACGGGAGGCAGCAGUGGGGAAUAUUGCACAAUGGGCGCAAGCCUGAUGCAGCCAUGCCGCGUGUAUGAAGAAGGCCUUCGGGUUGUAAAGUACUUUCAGCGGGGAGGAAGGGAGUAAAGUUAAUACCUUUGCUCAUUGACGUUACCCGCAGAAGAAGCACCGGCUAACUCCGUG
rnacentral:rRNA from 1 species